CAGGCACUGUCUAAGAGUCCUCGCUUGUAUGGGAGUGGAGAGGAGAGGCCAGAGUAUUGUAAGGUAAGAUGUAUUAGUGCCUACAAUGUGUUAUGCAAUGUACUAAAGCAUUCUGCAUGUAUUAUCAUAUUUAAUGCUCAUAAUACCUUGUGAAAUUUUACAAAGAAAUUAAGCUUAGAGAAGUGAAAUCAUUCUCCUGUGGUCAAAGCCAGUGAAUGGGGAUUUGAACCAGGUAGCUGAACACAAGUCUAAGUUUAUUAACCUGAAUCCUCUGCUGGUUGUCUUGACUCUCUGGAAACUGAUCAUGUCUUCAGAUUUCCCACAGUUCCUGGCACUAGGUUGAGCACUCUAAACAGAUUCAAUGCCAAUUGCAGGCUUCUGACAAGGCUUCCUAAAUGCAGAGCCCUGGCUGCAGAUCAGGAGACCCUGGCCCCUCCAAGGGCACCCCGGCUAAUCAGCCUCUUCUUCUGACUUCUGACUCCACCCCAGGACAGGCAUGGUGCUUCGAAAGCAGAAGUAAGGCAGCAGAACACUUGGAGAAGCCUCGCUGAGGGCCAGGGCCUGGUGGUUCGGAUGGCAGCAAGCUGCCCCCAGGGACCCAAAACCCAAAGGUCAGGAAUGUAGUACUGGCCAGCCAGGGCAGGCACUGCUGUGUGGUAGAAGAGAAGUCCAGAACUGUGAGGCGUCAAGCGUGAGUUGGAGGCAGGAUGGCAGUGAGAAUGCACGCCCAACUGAGCGAGUGCGUGUGAGUGAAUUAUGUGUGUGGUUCAGUUUUAGGCACUGGGCAGAUUUGCAAAGCUCAUCACCCUCCUAGAGUUGCCUGCAAAAGGCCACAUGUUUAACACCACGUCAAUCAAUCAACGGAGGUGCACUGGGUGGGGAGUGUGUGGCCAACCCAGCACGGGGAGCCGUGCAGCUGCAGGGAAGAGAGCAUCUCUUUCCCCAGUGGCUCAUGGUCAUAGCCGAGGACACAAGACUGGCCCUUGUGGGAAAAUUGAGGGGACCUGUUAAAUGCUGACCUCUAAUGUGGUUCCAGUUGAGUCACCAUAUUUCUUGUGAACCUCCAAAGCACUGGAAGACUUCUGGGCCUCGCGUGGCUGCAGGUGAAACAUACAGCCAAUCACUCCACCCUGGAGUCUUGGUUUCCUCCCCUGCAGAAUGAGAGUGACGCUGAUAAGACAUCUCAGGCAGAGGCGAAGGAGGUGAGACCCAUGAAGGACAGAGAGGCCCUAAGGCAGCCCCAAGGUCACACAACAUAAAAAUCUAACAGCAAGAAUGGAAAAGAAACUGCCUUCUACCACAUUGGGUUGCCAUGAAACCUAACAGCUGGGGGCGCCUGGGAAGAGAGAAAAAGUCACGAAGUUUCUUCCUGACACUCCCACUGACAAUCGUGAUUCUGACACCAGAAAUGCCUUUUCUUCAUAGCAUUUCCCUUACAUGGAGAAAUACACCUCUUGUCUUGCUUCAUUCACAGUUAAAUAUGCUUAGGAAGACGAGGAGACGGAGGCCCGUACUCUUGAGCCACCCACCUCUGAAUCCACCUGCCUCUGGAUCCACCAAAAUACCUGCCCUUCCUAUUUGCCCGAAUGCUCUCAUGUUUCAGAGCCCUCUCCUCCAGGAAGCCCUCCCUGCAAACUUCAUCUUACCAUCCCCUUUUCCAUCCUGGAUACUCUAGAGAAAUCAGAGCUCAGAUUGAAGCUGAGUCCUCAGACUUUCAGUUGCGUCUGAUUUGGAAGGAGAAAGAAGAACCCCCACAUCUCUGGCACCCCCAUGGACACCAAGAGAAGAACUUCAGUCCAUCUGACAGCAAAGCCUGAACUCUUUCUUCACUGAGUUCAAAUUUGCCUCUACCACUCACCCACCCUUUGUCAUCAGGCAAGCCACUUACAACUCUCCGAGCCUCAAUUUUCCCACCUGGAAAAGGGCAAUAAUAAUAAUACCUUCCUCCUAGGUUGGUGUGAGGAUUAAAUAAGAUUACAUGUGCAAAAGCUCCAAGCACCCACAAUAGAUACCGAACUGGAAGUCACUAUAAUAAAACUGAUAAUGACAACGAUAGUGAUGGUGAUAAAUAUCAUUAGUGUAUAAUCCAUACUUGGACCAAUUUGGGUUUUUUGUUCAAGACCGCUCGGUGAGCUGAGUGUGGCGGCACAUGCCUGUAAUCCUAGCUGCUUGAGAGGCUGAAGCUGGAGGACCGCUUGAGCCCAGGAGUUUGAGACAAGCCUAGGCAACAUAGCUAGAUCCUCUCUUCUAAAAGAAAAACAAAACAAAACCAAGACCACUUGGCAACUCUAUCAAAGAAAGGUAAACAGGUAAGAGCUUUUUGGGUUAAAAUGUUGCAGGGAUCUGAACUCCCACCCCUCUAGGCCAGGGAAGGAGAAUGGGAGUGGUAAGAGACUUCCUAGUUUAAAAAUAUAACAAUAAAAUCCAUCUUCCAAAUAAAAACUGACCUAGUACACAUUUUGGAUUUUUUUUCUUUCUUCCAAAGCUCUGAGAGUUAGUUGAAUCCUUUAAAAAGACAGCAUGCUCACCUCUUUCUCCCUAGCACCAAUGAUUUGGAGAGACAGAUCACUUCACUUCUGACAUUCUAGAUACAUCUAUAUGUUGGGAUUCUCCGUCCACCCAGCUAGGGCAUUCUAUGAAGCCAAGAAUUUAGUUCUAAGCUCCCAAAGGAAGCUCUAUUUCAAAAAGCCGGGUGGCU
rnacentral:lncRNA from 1 species